CUACGGGACGCAGCAGUGGGGAAUUUUGCGCAAUGGGGGAAACCCUGACGCAGCAAUACCGCGUGAGUGAAGAAGGCCUUUGGGUCGUAAAGCUCUUUUCUUUGGGGAAGAUAGUGACGGUACCCAAGGAAUAAGCACCGGCUAACUCCGUGCCAGCAGCCGCGGUAAUGCGGAGGGUGCAAGCGUUGUUCGGAUUUACUGGGCGUAAAGGGCACGUAGGCGGCACAGCAAGUUAAGGGUGAAAUCCCGGGGCUCAACUCCGGAACUGCUCUUAAAACUGCUGAGCUAGAGAUAGUCAGAGGCGGGUGGAAUUCCAGGUGUAGGGGUGAAAUUCGUAGAUAUCUGGAGGAACACCGGUGGCGAAGGCGGCCCGCUGGGGCUAUUCUGACGCUAAGGUGCGAAAGCGUGGGGAGCAAACGGGAUUAGAUACCCGGGUAGUC
rnacentral:rRNA from 1 species